UGAAGGCAACAUUUCAACAUAGACAGAAACUGCUGCAUGAUCUGGAGCAGUCAUCAAUGAUCUUGGAUCACUUCCCAAGAUUCUUGGAUGCACCAGGCUUAGACUUCAUUAGGCUCUUUGGGGAAGACAUCUCUGCAAAGUUCAUUGCAAGACGGCCUACAUUCUACAAACCGAGGGUCAUCACUGUCAGCAAAAACCUUCGACAGAGUUCUCAUCUGGAUGACCUUCUGUCCGCUCAGGAGGAAUCAAGUGAAUAGGAAUGGGACAGAGACUUUGCAGCCAUUCUCCUGCUGGUUCAUCUCUUGCCUCCAACUGCAAAGGGGAAGAGACGGGGUAAAAUCAGUUCACCUGUGGCAGCUGACCGUGUAGUCAAGUUC